UACGUAGGGCGCAAGCGUUGUCCGGAAUUAUUGGGCGUAAAGAGCUCGUAGGCGGUUUGUCGCGUCUGGUGUGAAAACUCAAGGCUCAACCUUGAGCUUGCAUCGGGUACGGGCAGACUAGAGUGUGGUAGGGGAGAUCGGAAUUCCUGGUGUAGCGGUGAAAUGCGCAGAUAUCUGGAGGAACACCGGUGGCGAAGGCGGCAUCCUGGACCGACACUGACGCUGAGGAGCGAAAGCCAGGGGAGCAA
rnacentral:rRNA from 1 species